AGUCGACGGCAGCGCGGGGCAACCUGGCGGCGAGUGGCGAACGGGUGAGUAAUAUAUCGGAACGUACCCAAGAGUGGGGGAUAACGUAGCGAAAGUUACGCUAAUACCGCAUACGAUCUAAGGAUGAAAGUGGGGGAUCGCAAGACCUCAUGCUCCUGGAGCGGCCGAUAUCUGAUUAGCUAGUUGGUGAGGUAAAGGCUCACCAAGGCGACGAUCAGUAGCUGGUCUGAGAGGACGACCAGCCACACUGGAACUGAGACACGGUCCAGACUCCUACGGGAGGCAGCAGUGGGGAAUUUUGGACAAUGGGCGCAAGCCUGAUCCAGCAAUGCCGCGUGAGUGAAGAAGGCCUUCGGGUUGUAAAGCUCUUUUGUCAGGGAAGAAACGGCUGAGGAUAAUACCUUCGGCUAAUGACGGUACCUGAAGAAUAAGCACCGGCUAACUACGUGCCAGCAGCCGCGGUAAUACGUAGGGUGCAAGCGUUAAUCGGAAUUACUGGGCGUAAAGCGUGCGCAGGCGGUUUUGUAAGUCUGUCGUGAAAGCCCCGGGCUCAACCUGGGAAUUGCGAUGGAGACUGCAAGGCUUGAAUCUGGCAGAGGGGGGUAGAAUUCCACGUGUAGCAGUGAAAUGCGUAGAGAUGUGGAGGAACACCCGAUGGCGAAGGCAGCCCCCUGGGUCAAGAUUGACGCUCAUGCACGAAAGCGUGGGGAGCAAACAGGAUUAGAUACCCUGGUAGUCCACGCCCUAAACGAUGUCUACUAGUUGUCGGGUCUUAAUUUGACUUGGUAACGCAGCUAACCGCGUGAAGUAGACCGCCUGGGGAGUACGGUCGCAAGAUUAAAACUC
rnacentral:rRNA from 1 species